UGGCGGCAGGCUUAACACAUGCAAGUCGAGCGGAGAGAGGUAGCUUGCUACUGAUCUUAGCGGCGGACGGGUGAGUAAUGCUUAGGAAUCUGCCUAUUAGUGGGGGACAACAUUUCGAAAGGAAUGCUAAUACCGCAUACGUCCUACGGGAGAAAGCAGGGGAUCUUCGGACCUUGCGCUAAUAGAUGAGCCUAAGUCGGAUUAGCUAGUUGGUGGGGUAAAGGCCUACCAAGGCGACGAUCUGUAGCGGGUCUGAGAGGAUGAUCCGCCACACUGGGACUGAGACACGGCCCAGACUCCUACGGGAGGCAGCAGUGGGGAAUAUUGGACAAUGGGCGCAAGCCUGAUCCAGCCAUGCCGCGUGUGUGAAGAAGGCCUUAUGGUUGUAAAGCACUUUAAGCGAGGAGGAGGCUACUUUAGAUAAUACCUAGAGAUAGUGGACGUUACUCGCAGAAUAAGCACCGGCUAACUCUGUGCCAGCAGCCGCGGUAAUACAGAGGGUGCAAGCGUUAAUCGGAUUUACUGGGCGUAAAGCGCGCGUAGGCGGCUAAUUAAGUCAAAUGUGAAAUCCCCGAGCUUAACUUGGGAAUUGCAUUCGAUACUGGUUAGCUAGAGUGUGGGAGAGGAUGGUAGAAUUCCAGGUGUAGCGGUGAAAUGCGUAGAGAUCUGGAGGAAUACCGAUGGCGAAGGCAGCCAUCUGGCCUAACACUGACGCUGAGGUGCGAAAGCAUGGGGAGCAAACAGGAUUAGAUACCCUGGUAGUCCAUGCCGUAAACGAUGUCUACUAGCCGUUGGGGCCUUUGAGGCUUUAGUGGCGCAGCUAACGCGAUAAGUAGACCGCCUGGGGAGUACGGUCGCAAGACUAAAACUCAAAUGAAUUGACGGGGGCCCGCACAAGCGGUGGAGCAUGUGGUUUAAUUCGAUGCAACGCGAAGAACCUUACCUGGCCUUGACAUAGUAAGAACUUUCCAGAGAUGGAUUGGUGCCUUCGGGAACUUACAUACAGGUGCUGCAUGGCUGUCGUCAGCUCGUGUCGUGAGAUGUUGGGUUAAGUCCCGCAACGAGCGCAACCCUUUUCCUUAUUUGCCAGCGAGUAAUGUCGGGAACUUUAAGGAUACUGCCAGUGACAAACUGGAGGAAGGCGGGGACGACGUCAAGUCAUCAUGGCCCUUACGGCCAGGGCUACACACGUGCUACAAUGGUCGGUACAAAGGGUUGCUACCUAGCGAUAGG
rnacentral:rRNA from 1 species